rnacentral:rRNA from 1 species
UACAGGGGGGGCAAGCGUUGUUCGGAAUUACUGGGCGUAAAGGGGUAGUAGGCGGCCAACUAAGUCCGACGUGAAAUCCCAAGGCUUAACCUUGGAACUGCGUCGGAUACUGGAUGGCUUGAAUUCGGGAGAGGUGAGUGGAACUGCGAGUGUAGAGGUGAAAUUCGUAGAUAUUCGCAAGAACACCAGUGGCGAAGGCGGCUCACUGGCCCGAUACUGACGCUGAGGCACGAAAGCGUGGGGAGCAAACAGG